UCGCUGGCAAACCAUCCAACGCCCCUCUCUUCAAAUCUUUUGAUUUGCUUCCUUAACUUACUUUUUUUUUUUUCUUUUCUUCUUUUCCUUUUUCCUUCUGACUUCUUUCCUUAAUUAAUAGGUAACUGAAUGGUAAGUGAGCUCGACUCGGAACCGAGAUUUUACCUCCAUUUUUAGUCCAAAUCCUUGUCAUGUAUGAAGUUUUGUACAUUCGGCUUUCUUUUUUGGGCAUCCAUUAGAUUAAUCUAGACAGAUUUUGAGGUAAGUGCUUCAUCUAUUCUUUCUUUUCUCAUAUGAAUCUGAUUUUGAUUUUAGAAGUUCAAAUUACAGAAUAUUUCUUUUGAUUUUCGGAUUUGAAAAGAAGUUUUAUUUUCGAAUCUUACUGAUUAUAUGGAACUAAUUUUUCCCAAAACUUCAGUACCUUGGUUGUUAGCAUUAAUUACCAACGGCUCUUUUCAAAGAAAAUUUCCUUGUAAUGAUACACAAUUUUUUACUGAUUUCUUUCCUUCCUAAUUAACCUUGAUUUUAUUCAAAACUAUAAAUAUUGGCAUUCUUGGCACUGCACGGGGAGGUCGGAUCAUAUUUACUUUCUUGUGAUUACUAGUUUACUACCCUUUGAUCAGCUUUCUUUGUUAUUGUUUCUCUCUGCUGACUGGGAGUCAAGUUACAAAUUUUGGCAUCUCUGUGUUAUUACAAGUUGUUCAUCGCUCGCGCACUGCUGCCGGUUGAUUAUUGCUUGUCCUGAAAAUCCGAUUUUCUGGUCUUUUCUAUAUUGUUUUUGCACGUCAUAACCGCUGUUUGCACUAGUUUAUUAUUGUCCGUGGCUGUUAGUUGUUGGUGCAUAUUGGUUUUGGGUGUUAUUGUAUUAUGCUGCUCUGCAAUAGCUGUUUCCUGUUGGAAGCCUUGUGUAUUCUUGGACAUGCUGAAUGUCGUGCGAAAUUCCAUUUAAAGCUUGCCAAGCUUAAAAAUCAGGUACGUCUCUUAAACCUCAGUAUAUGCUUAAUUCUACUUGUUGGUUGCGACUGUUGUGCGCUAGAGAACCCGACUAUAGGAUUAUCAUCUAUUUUGAUUCGUACGAUUUUGUUCAAAUUAUUUUGUCCACUAGAAACUAUGACUUAAGGGUAGCCAAAAAAAGUAAUAACUUUGUGUAUGCGCACAUCCUGCCUAGACUUUCGGCCCAUAUUGUGUUUCUGUAUUUCACUCAGACGCCAUAUCGAAAGAUCAAUUUGAUACUUCUUUAAAUGAAAAAUCUUAUGUCUAAUAGAUACUCUGAUUACCAGAAUAUGUUCGCGCAUUGACCACAUAGAUACUAUGUCAUUAGGAUUUAAUUCAUCCAGAUAACCCAUCCUAUAGGACAAAGCAUUAAGAUAACUUGCUAAAUAAUGCAUAAAAUUUGUCCUUUAUUUAGUUUGAUUAAUUAAUAAUCCAUGUCCUUCCUAUUUUUCUGUUUGGACUGUUAGUGAAUUUGAGUUUAUAUAAAGAGCAUAUAUUUGGGAGUAGUUAAAUCAUUAACAACUGCUAAAAAUUUAUUCUUGUGUUAAAAUCUACUCUGUUCUAUGUCUCGGUGUUUCUUGUGGGUUUGAAGUUGCAAAUGUCCUGAAUCCGCCAUUGGGGAGCAUGCUAUUAAGAUGUAAUGCGUUUCCAUGAUAAAAUUAGUCUCCAAACGUGUUGCAUAGAUGUUCUUUGUGUGUUCUAGUUUAGUUUUGAGAUUGCAGGAGCCUAAUUUUAGUUUUAGGCCAAAAUUGGAGGCGCAUGGAAUUUGAGGAAGGUUCAAGAAUGUAUGUUCGUACCCUUUCAUGUCUUGAGGUCCAUUCUAGUUUAUUUAAUCUAUUGUGGCCCUGUAAUAACUUUAUAAAAAAUGCUCUGUAAUAGUGAAGGGGCUACUAUGGAUGAGAACUUGCUCGUCACUUGUUUGUUAAGCGACGUGAGAAUUUUUUUGCAUUUCAAGAUCGUAAUUGAUAAAAUAAAAAAGCAUUUUGACCACCACUAACAUGUGAUUUAGCUUAAUCAGAUUUUUGCCUUGCGUACUUCUAUUUAUUUCCCUAAUAAUUUCGAGUAUAUCAUAGGCUCUUAAAAAUAUGUUCAACCUCCUAAAUAUAGUGCUAUAUCAGCCACGUUCCUUUUCAAAUUUUAUCCUUUCUCUACUAAUAAUGUUUUGCUCAAACGUUUGGCCUUUUGUCUAUUCCAAAAGGCACACUUCCCUAUCAUCUUUCGAUUUACUUCAAAUGAAAGAAUCCAGUCAUGCUACCGUAUAAUAUGCAGCUUUCUUACCGGUAUCUAUAUAUAAAUAUAAAGCUGAGAAUGAAAAAGAUGAUGUGACACUCCCUAUGAUCAUCAAUAGUAUUUAUCUAUUUUUUCCUUUUUCCUGCAAUUUCUUCUUCAUUCUGCUAUAGAACAAAAAAAAUUGGUUCGGAAAAAGACAAAUGGGUUUUGCUUUUGAAGGGCCACGUUAGUAACGUAAAACGCUAAUCUGGAAGGUUGCAUUUGUAACGUAAAAUGCUGACGGUUAUGCUUCUGAAAAGUCAAACUCAAAUUAAUUGUAUUUAAUUUAGGCUUCCAAAUAUAAUGGCCAAGUCUUUCACCUUCUUUCUUCUUUCUCCAAUAUCUACCUAUGGAAAGUGCAUCAAUUCUAAACACACUGCAGUACACGUAUGGCUCCUUAUUCUGUCUUGCAAUAUCGCUUUUCUUCAUUUUGUGAAAUUAUUACCAAUGAUAUGAUUGCUUGACUUAAAGUAUUGCUAUUCUUCUAUGUAUGUAGUUGUAGUUUUGCAGAAAAAACGAGAGAUGUGCCCGCUGCCCACCACCACAAGUAAAAUCUUGCAGAUGCCGCCUCAAGUUUUCCAUUCUCAUGACUAUCUUGACGUCUGUAAAUAGAUGCGAUCAUAUACACAUAUCAUUCCACUUGAGAAUUCAAGUAUUGAAGGAAAAAGUAAUAGAAACAAGAGUGUGCAGCUUCAUUGUUCAUCUUCAAUCUGUUUUAUGGGAAUUUUUGACAUAAGAUCAAUACGUCAGACAACCACAUGAUAAAUAAUAUCCCU
rnacentral:lncRNA from 1 species